GUGCUUGCUUCAGCAGCACAUAUACUAAAACUGGAAUGAUAUGGUGAAGAUUAGCAGGGCCCCCGCACAAAGAUAACACGCAAAUUCGUGAAGUGUUCAUAUUUUCU
rnacentral:snRNA from 1 species